GGCUCAGUGGUCUAGUGGUAUGAUUCUCGCUUCUGGUGCGAGAGGCCACGGGUUCGAUUCCCGUCUGAGCCC
rfam:Nematostella vectensis strain CH2 x CH6 NEMVEscaffold_39_Cont6463, whole genome shotgun sequence.